rnacentral:rRNA from 1 species
UUAUCCAUCCUUCCGAGUUCAAUUGGAGGGCAGUCUGGUGCCAGCAGCCGCGGUAAUUCCAGCUCCAAUAGCGUAUAUUAAAAUUGUUGCAGUUAAAAAGCUCGUAGUUGAAUUUCUGCUGCAUCGUCGCAUCUCUUGCUGAGUGCUUCGUUUCGGCUUAUUUCGGAUUGAUUUUUUCUUUCCGGAUGAUUACUUUGAGAAAAUUAGAGUGCUCAAAGCAGGCUUUUGCCUUGAAUAGUUUAGCAUGGAAUAAUAAAGUAGGACUUUGGUUCUAUUUUGUUGGUUUUAGGUACCAAAGUAAUGGUUAAUAGGAACAGUUGGGGGCAUUCGUAUUUAACUGUCAGAGGUGAAAUUCUUAGAUUUGUUAAAGACGAACUACUGCGAAAGCAUUUGCCAAGGAUGUUUUCAUUAAUCAAGAACGAAAGUUAGGGGAUCGAAGACGAUCAGAUACCGUCGUAGUCCUAACCAUAAACUAAUAA